rnacentral:rRNA from 1 species
GAUGAACGCUGGCGGCGUGCCUAACACAUGCAAGUCGAGCGAUCUUCUUCGGAAGAGAGCGGCGGACGGGUGAGUAACGCGUGGGUAACCUGCCCUGUACACACGGAUAACAUACCGAAAGGUAUGCUAAUACGAGAUAAUAUGCUUUUGUCGCAUGGUAGAAGUAUCAAAGCUCCGGCGGUACAGGAUGGACCCGCGUCUGAUUAGCUAGUUGGUAAGGUAACGGCUUACCAAGGCGACGAUCAGUAGCCGACCUGAGAGGGUGAUCGGCCACAUUGGAACUGAGACACGGUCCAAACUCCUACGGGAGGCAGCAGUGGGGAAUAUUGCACAAUGGGCGAAAGCCUGAUGCAGCAACGCCGCGUGAGCGAUGAAGGCCUUCGGUCGUAAGCUCUGUCAGAUGGGAAGAAAUAGGAUGGGGCGUAAUAAUCGCCCACUCCUUCGACGGUACCGAUCAGAGGAAGCACCGGCUAACUCCGUGCC